rnacentral:lncRNA from 1 species
GACCAGCUUCUGUGAGAUCACUGGUUUUGUUACCAAACAUUCCAUUGUUGCUGUGACAAUGAUGCCCAAACAAACCUCAGUCUCAGCCAGGUGAGGCUUGUCACCCUUGGCACUGCAUUCUCCAAAGAGGACCAUGGCAACAAGGGAAUGUUUGGUAACAGAGCCAGUGACUUCACAGAAGCUGGUCUUAAUUCCACAUUUCUGAAACUCAGGGAAGAGCAGAGCCAGCCAGGAGAGAAUGUGGAGGCAGAGGAAGACAAUAGUUCCCUUGGAAGAGCUGUGACUACUAGAAAAGUACUGUCCUGUAUCCUGGAGGGACACCAGAUGGAACCAAAAGACCAUGUUAUUUAAGUCAAUCAAUCAAAAACUAAAACCUUAAUUUACAAUGAAAAAAGUUUUUAAAAAAAAUAAACAAUCUAAAUGACUACUUUCCUGAGCCUGU